rnacentral:rRNA from 1 species
AGAGUUUGAUCCUGGCUCAGAAUGAACGCUGGCGGCGUGCUUUACACAUGCAAGUCGUACGAGAAAUCUUUCGCUUGCGGAAGAGAGUAAAGUGGCGAACGGGUGAGUAACGCGUGGGUAAUCUACGUCCAAGUCAAGGAUAACAUCGCGAAAGUGAUGCUAAUACCGGAUAACAUCUCGCAACUCAGGUUGUCGAGAUCAAAGGUGGCCUCUACAAGUAAGCUACCGUUUGGACAUGAGCCCGCGUGCCAUUAGCUUGUUGGUAGGGUAAUGGCUUACCAAGGCGACGAUGGCUAGCUGGUCUGAGAGGAUGAUCAGCCACACUGGAGCUGAGACACGGUCCAGACUCCUACGGGAGGCAGCAGUGAGGAAUCUUGCGCAAUGGGGAAACCCUGACGCAGCGACGCCGUGUGAGUGAUGAAGGCCCUCGGGUCGUAAAGCUCUGUCAAGUGGGAAGAAACUGCCUUGUGUUAAUACCACAAGGCACUGACGGUACCACUGGAGGAAGCACCGGCUAACUCCGUGCCAGCAGCCGCGGUAAUACGGAGGGUGCAAGCGUUACUCGGAAUUACUGGGCGUAAA